UUUUUUCUGCGGGUUUGGAGAGCGGAGUUGGGCAACAAACAAAAACCUUAGCGGUGACGUGCGUGAGCCAGCCAAUGGGAGUGAAGCAUUUGAAAGUUAUUUUUAGAACAGCAUGUCUCACACUCGCUUUCCAGACUCCGCGGAGUGACAGCCAAAAACUGAGCCGAAUGGAGUUGGAGGAACAGGCGAAAAGAGUACCCACCAGAACUUACUGCUGGUUCAUCACAAGGCUGAGGGAAGACCACUUCUAAUGACUCGGACUUGAAAAGAAACAACGCUAAGAGUACGACAACUAACUGGCUGCAGCUCCUGCGCGAAACAGACGGCAAAGGCAAAGUGGUCAUCGGCUCUCUGGCUUUCCACGAGACCUGGGCACAGGUGUGCCGUUUGCUGGAAAGCCUGGAGGAGGAAUAUGAGAGAACGGAGGACUGGUGCGGCGCAACAGACAAACCUGGCUCCAGCGGUCAGAUUGAUCAUGUGACUUCCAUGAUCAGUAAACACCUGAAGCAUAAGGAAUUCGUCCUCAAGGUUGAAAUCACACCAUUAAAUAUGCCUGCAAAUUAACCAAGGGAAUUGCGGAUCUCUUCCAGCAGUACGUAGAGCGGAACGGCGCAACCAUGGGAAGGCUGAGUCACGACCAAGAAGAGCAUGUUACAAGCAUCCUGAAUGAUCUGUGUGAGAGAGAAAACCGUGACCUCUGUUUGUGGAAUGUCAGGAAGCAGCAACUGGACGACUGUCAGCGUUAUUUGGCAUUUGAACGCCGUGCCAUUCAGGCACAGGAGAGAAUUCAAGACAUGGGAGAGGUUUACUUCUCCACACACUACUCCACCGGCUCAAGUAUCGGCUUCAGGCAGGAGCUGCUGAGGGAGGAGGAGGAUUUUAACAUCAUCAGCAAG